GACGAACGCUGGCGGCGUGCUUAACACAUGCAAGUCGAACGGAAAGGCCCUGCUUUUGUGGGGUGCUCGAGUGCCGAACGGGUGAGUAACACGUGAGUAACCUGCCCCUGACUUUGGGAUAACUUCAGGAAACUGGGGCUAAUACCGGAUAGGAGCUCCUGCUGCAUGGUGGGGGUUGGAGAGUUUCGGCUGUUGGGGAUGGACUCGCGGCUUAUCCGCUUGUUGGUGGGGUAGUUGCUUACCAAGGCUUUGACGGGUAGCCGGCCUGAGAGGGUGACCGGGCACAUUGGGACUGAGAUACGGACCAGACUGCUACGGGAGGCAGCAGUGGGGAAUAUUGCACAAUGGGCGGAAGCCUGAUGCAGCAACGCCGCGUGCGGGAUGACGGCUUUCGGGUUAUAAACCGAUUUCGACGGUGACGAAGCGUGAGUGACGGUAAUGGGUAAAGAAGCACCGGCUAACUACGUG
rnacentral:rRNA from 1 species